CAGUAUGGCACAUGAACAGAGAUUGAAUGUUCUGAAAAGAUUUGGCACAGAACCUUGAAGCAGAACAAAUCCACCCUCCUCCAUCCACGCACACAUACACACACACUCUCUAUUUCACAUGUUCCUCCAGUGUUAAUACGUACAUCUGUGGUUAUAACAGGUUAAAACACAGUCUUUAGAAACAAUCACAAGAACAACCAUAGUCAAUAUUGCAGAAGAGAAGCCUAAGCGAAACAAAAAAGCAGAUGGAGGCCAUGUUUAAUUGAACAGAGGGAAGGAAGUAUCAGAAGCCUUGUUUUUUGUUAUUGUUGUUGGGUUGGUUUUUCCAUUUUCCUGAGAGGGGAUCAGCUUGAUGCAGGGACUAACAGGAGCGUGAGAGAUUGUCUGUGUGUGUGUGUGUGUUUGUGUGUGUGUGUGUGUGUAUGUGUGCUUGUGUUUGUGAGGAUCAUGGGGUUAAUACAGAAUCACAAGUUGACAUCUAGCUGCAGGGUAGUGAAAAAUGGCAGCAGGAAAAGGUGGGAGGGCUUAAACUGGAAGCGUGAGGUAGAUAUAGAGGAGCGGAGGAGGGAGAACGGGCGGGUUAAGGGGAUGAGGAGCACAAGAGGAGGAAAAGGAGGGGAUUUAAUGCAAGAGGUACUCCUGUGAGUUAGCGAGCGAGCGAGUGUACGAGUUUGUGUGUGAGUCAGAGAGAGUUAGAGAUGGAGAGGGAGGGAGAUUUGGGGAGAGGGAGAGGCUGUGGUGAAGGUUUUAGCUACAUUUCUGAAGGAGAGGGUGAGAAAAAGGCAGAGAAGCAGGAGAAGUCAGCCAUGCUCCUCUCUGUUCUGGGUUGGGGACAGAGAGGAGUCAUUCCCCCUCCGGCACCGGCUGACAUAUAAGCACCAUGGCGGCCUCCUUCCUCCUCCAUGUCUUUAUCUCUGCCGCACACAGAUACACAAAACAGAUACUGCGCGCACUCAAGUGCACACAAGUAUGCACGCAAGCCACUCGGACGUAUGCAUAAAUAUGCAUACUUAUGCCUCUCAUGCAGAUACUACACAGACACACAAGUGCACUGAGCCGGGGCCCCCGUGUGUGUCAAAUAUAUCACACACAUGCAGACACACUCACACACAGACAAAACCUACAAAGAUAUAGAGUGACAGGAUGCUUCUCAUUGUCAUCUUUCAUUCUUCCUGCCAUCAUCACAUCUCUUUUCAAUCUAUCUCUCCUGUCUUUCUCUCUAUUUCUGUCUCCCCUCGUCCUCCCCUCCUUGUCUCUCUCUUUCCUUCAGGCACAAAGGGGUGGGAGACCCUGAGGCGGCACAGAGGCUCCACUGCCGGAUGGACCUGGCAAACGCACAUCAACUAUGGCUGAAACACAAAGGAGGCCGCUGCAGUGUCUGCUGAAUGUCACGUUUAAAAGCAUUAGAGGGGGACUAUUAAAAACGUGAAUUUUGGUUUCAUACAGACUGGGAGCAGAAAUGGGAGCAGACAUGAAAUGAGGGUAUUAAGGGCCAGACUGUGUGAAUAAAUCAGCACCGAUGAGAUAAAAAAAGAGACAGUAUGCCUCACUUGGCUGACAUGAGGGGGUGGAGACAAACAGGGUAAAGAAAAAUCAAUAACUGCAGUAAAAUGUUGAUUUCAUAUUGAUGAGUUUACAACUGUUUUUUUUAAGAAAACUUGUUUCACUUUGAGGAUGCUGGAGGUCAGAUUUAAAGCUCGGCUCAGGAGGCUUAUAUGGGUCAGGCUGGAUCUGUGCUCUGGUUGUUGCUUUCUGAUCACAACUUCUGACCCUCAGGUGGGAGCAGAGUAAUAAACAGUUUGUGCAAGAUUAAAGGAUUGCAAGUGAAUUUUAUGAAAGAAGAACUACAAACUCUGGAUUUUUUACAUGUAAGCAUAAUGCCCGUCAACACAAGGGGUAAAAUACCAGCUCAUUGGACAUAUGACACGUUGGAGAAAUAAAAUAAUGUUGCACCAACUACAACUGCUGGCAGCUCCGCUCAGUGCCUUCUCAGUGAUCAUCCCCAAGAUCAUUGGAGACUGAGGGACUAAUUUUGAGACUGAACCUUUAUUUUGGGAUCUCUUUUAGGGAAGAGGAGACCUUUGUGGAAAAUUGUACUCAUGCAAUCCUGACCCCAAAAAGGCCAAGUUCUUUACAAACAAGCUAAGGGAAUAUAAGCUCCAGCUUUGCUGGCUUCUCCUCUUGGCAUCAAAGAGACACGUUUUUGACAGUUCAUAUGACAGGGUUUGUUGUUUAUGGUGAGAUGGAGAGUUCGCUCACGCAGUAUUACAAUCUUUGUAUGAAAUAAACCUGAAUGCUCUGCAUUGUGCAGUUCAGGUUUGGGUGAUUUGUUAUUAGGGUCAGGUUCUUGUCUUUAAGGCUCCAGUCUGUGCAUGUGUCACACACUGCAGUGUCCUUGUGUCACUAGUGUGGGCUUUAUGCAAACUUGAAAGCUCUCCAUAUUCCUCUCUAGAGCCAUACCAUGACACCCUAACAUACCUCUGAGUUGGACAGAUGUCGAUGCAUCUGUUGUGAUGAUCCAGUUUGUGGAGGUAACAGCUGUACCUCAUUCUUUGUCUACUCAUACAGUGCAGGUAUGCAAGUUGGUAAGUUAGAGCUUGGUGAAGGACUUGGGAUCAUUUCAUGGGAACCAGAAUUUCCAACCGCACUGUAUGAUAGUAUUACAGAUAAAUCUGGCAACUGUUAUUGUAACUUAAGCACUUGCUGAGAUUUGGCCAGUGUCUGGGUAAAGAUGUUGGCAUAUCUGUUACUUUUUCCAGGGCAGCUGGCACUGCUUUUGCUUUGGGAACAGAACUGGUAGCUCUGUGUUUGAUGCUGAUACCAUGCUGCCUUCAGAGGUAAGUGAAGAGAUUGGUAGUGUUGUCAGCGCAGUCUUCAACUCUGUAUACUCUGCAAACAGCUGCUGGUUUAUCAAGGAGGCCUUCCGUUCAUAGAAGCCAAAAUCUGUCCAAACUUAUGACUUGUAACCAGACAAAUUGAUAAUCUCAAGUUUCUCUAGCUCCUUCCUUAUUAGCUGUCAACUGAGUUCAAGUCCAUCUAAUCAAUCUCUGUGACCUACGUCUCUCAACAUCUACUUUGGGGUCAGUCUGCAACCCCAGUUCCAAAAACGUUGCAACAUUGGGUAAAAUGUUGAAAAGCUUUGAUGAAUUUAAAAUCAUCUAAAUUCUAUAAUUUACUCAAAAUCCUGCAAAGAUAAGUCAGUUUGUGAUACUGAAAAAUGUACUGUGUUAUGAAAAAUUUGGAUUUUAUUUCAAAUUAAUGGACAAAGGGGCCAGCGUGCUUAAAUUAAAAAGUUCUCAAAGUCACUUGGGGUCCAACUUGAGGCAAACACUCUAAAUGAAAAGAUGUCAGUACUGACAAUGAAGUUUAUGAUUUAAAAAAAUGAAGAUAAAGAUUGACCGAAGUUUUAAGAAAUAAACUGCAGUCUGUCUUUGUCUGUAUUUUUUAACGGUCUAUCAUAAAUCUUAAAGCUUAAAGGCUAAAACAUACAGGAUCCUUAUUGAGUGCGUAACGUCAGCAUUGUGUAUUUUGCAGCAAAUAGGUUGCCAUUAUAAUCAAUGCAGCAUCGCAUACAGGGUGCGUAUCAGCUCUGUAUCAGAAGUGCAUCGAGAGCAGCACUGCUAUAGACGGGUCUAUUUUUGCUGCUCUACGCUUCCAAUGCAUGUGAAUCUACACAGAGACGAUCGUUCAAGACAGGAAGUCAAGCACGAAAAACCACGCAUGACAUCAGGUAUUUUAAAAUAAAACACCCUAUGCGAGCUCCCGACUAUGUAUUAGUUCAUGUAGAUGAGAAAUACUUCCUGGUUGUGGAUUUAUCAGUAACACAGAACAAUCUGAUGGUCAAUCCCUGAUAAAUGUGGACCCCAACAGGACUUUUAACGGUUAACUCUGUCUGAAGGUAACAGCACAGUAUAAAGGAACAUAGUUUACUUUAUUAAACACAAGUAAACCUGCAAAAAUCCAAACUGUAAAAUCACAUUGCUUUUUCACAUAUAGUAGAAGCUCAACAGUCACUUAAUUAUAACUAAAUUAGCAGGAAAUAGAUCACAGAAAGGCAAAACAACCUGUUGUGAGCAUGUUGUUUCCUCUAUACUGAGCCAAGCUGACCGGGGCUGCACUACACUGUUGCCAAGCCCCAAAUAGGCAUCCUGUAUUUGAUACCCAGGGCUGCUCUAAGGAGCAAAUACAGAUCGUGCUCAAUAUGGAUCCUGUAUGUUUUCAGCUUUAAAGAAAAAGAAAACAGGCAUAAUUCAUCCCGGUUAGAACUUCAUUUUUGAGGAGCUGUAGUUGUCUUUGUAGUUUACAGGUUUGUAUUAUCUUCACUUUCAGAAAGUAAAAUUUUUAAAAAGGGAUGACAUGGUAAUAAAUGGCAUCGUAAUAUUUAAAGUCAACAACACAAACAGAUCUGUCUCUUUAUUUUUAUUACAUCAAAUAUCAUAAGAAAUGCUGAUAUUCAUACAUAUAGAACAAAUACAUUGUGGUCAUAAUUUUGGCUGUAUUGUCCAGCCCUACCUUGCUCCUACGUUUGACCUCAUGCUCUCCCACGCUCCUGCUGAUAGAUCCUGGUUGGACAGCUCUACUAUCAAAACCAGCAGCUAAUAUCCAUAUGUCUGUUUUUGUCUCCUUCCUCUCCCAUAAGGUGCUCCAACCAGACCUAAAUUUAUACUUCAAAGCAGUGAACUGUACUCUGUGGCCUGCACCCAGCUUCAAACAAACAUCACACACUGCAGAAGUGCGAUCAUGAUGCCGAGCCAAAAUGUCCAUAACCAGUAAAUCUGAGAGUAGGACCGCUGUGUGCAUUUUGGAACCUAACAGCCAGCAUGUCCCUGUGAGGAGGAGAGCACUGCUGCUGCUGCUGCUGGGUCAGCACUAACUCCAAUAGUCCGGGACAGUCAAGUCGAAGUCCCAGAGUCCUGAAGAGGACUUUUUUCUUUUUCUUUUUCUUUUAGGGCAUGGAGAUGCUCCAGAAGGGUGUCUUAACCCGGCAGAUUGUUUCCAAAUCUGUGUUUGAAAGGGACUCUGGCUGCUUGCUUAAUGUCAAUAUCAGCUUUUUUCCAAGAAUCCCUUUUGAACUUUACCCCAUGGGGCUCUGAGCUGGUUUUACCAGAGCCAGGAAGAGUUUUCAUAUUCAAAGGGAAAAAAAAUUAAAUUACUGCACAGAUGCUCAGAGAUGCAGUUAGAAAGUUUUCACAUGACGACACUGAUAUCCUCCUUUAUAAAGCAUUCAUGAGCUCACUGUUAAGCAGAGCUCCCACUUUACUAUUCCCAUUAAUCGCUACUUUACAAUUACAUGAGCUGUGAGCGUGUCCCAUUUUACUAUUUUCACUGACUGUGUGGAUUUUCCUCAGCUGCUGAUCACAGACCCUGCCAACCCACAGCUGAGUGACACACACAAGAUAGUUAUCUGGGCUGAGAUGCCACUCAUCACUCUCACAUCACAGCCCACACACACUGACAAGCCCCACCGUCCAGUUCCACGCAGCUCAACACUUACAAGGCCAAACCAAAACGGACAUCUUAUGACCACCGACACGGUUACCAAGGCAACAAAAAAAUAAGAGAUGUGCUGUUGAAAAAUUAAGGACACCUUCACAGGGUAUAAAGCAGACGCAGGAGGAGCUGUUAAAGGGUUUGUGUUAGCCUCCACUGCACUCAAAUUGUUAAAGAAAGCCCCUCCUCAAUCACUGAAUCACUCUUUAGUCAGUGUCAGUGUGUGUAAGCGUGCGCGUGUGUACUUGUACAUGUGCAAAUGUGUGUGUGUGAAAGUUUGAUAGUAGGCUUUAGGGCAGGGUUUUCACAGUGAUGACACAGAAAAAAU
rnacentral:lncRNA from 1 species